UACGAAGGGGGCUAGCGUUGUUCGGAUUUACUGGGCGUAAAGCGCACGUAGGCGGAUCGUUAAGUCGGGGGUGAAAUCCCGGAGCUCAACUCCGGAACUGCCUUUGAUACUGGCGACCUUGAGGCUGGAAGAGGUUAGUGGAAUUCCCAGUGUAGAGGUGAAAUUCGUAGAUAUUGGGAAGAACACCAGUGGCGAAGGCGGCUAACUGGUCCAGAUCUGACGCUGAGGUGCGAAAGCGUGGGGAGCAAACAGG
rnacentral:rRNA from 1 species